GCAAUACACCAUUCAUGGCGCCUAGAAUUCGCAGUACUGCUCAAUGAAUCCACAUUACAGGAGGGCAAUCUCUGGGGCCGAAAAGGACACUGGACAACGAGGAUCGCCGUCGCAGCCACUAGAAUAUCGCCCAGGAUUCUGAGGUAUAUAUUUAAAAAUUUAGUGUUUAACUCUGUUUUUUUUUUAUUUUAUGGGUCUAGAAGGGCCACAUCACCAUCCAAGGGGGACCGUUGGGCAACGAAGGUCACCGCCAAAAUCCUAGCCUAAAGUUGCAAGGAGGGUUGGCAACAUCACCGAGGAAGGUUACUGGACGUCGGGGAUCGCCGCCGAAGUCGCCAAGGAUUGUCAGGUAUUGCUUUAACGACUUUAAGUGUCUAAUCGUUUUUUUUAUGUAUUUAGGGUGGUCCACAUCACCGAAGAAGGCCACCGGACAACGAGGUUCGCUGUCGGAGCCUCUUCGAUCGUCGCCCAAAAUUGUCAAGGCUACACCACCAUCGAAGAGGAUGCGUGACAUCGAGGAUCGCCGCUGGAGCAACGAGAUUGUCGGCACGGAAGGCCUCACCACCAUCGAAGAGGACGUUGGACGCUGAAGAGGACGCUGAAGCACCGACAUCGUCACCAUGGAUGUUCCAGGUAUAUGUGUUGUACAUUUAAUUGUCUAACCGUGUUUUUUUUAUUUAUUUAGGAGGGUUGCAUCAUCGCCCAAGAGGACCACUGGACAACUAGAUUCGUCGUCGGAAGUAUCAUAAUUGUCGCCCAGAAUAAUCAAGAGGGCUCCGCCACCAUCGAAGAGGAUGUUGGACGCUGACGGAGCCACCAUGAUCGUCGCCCAAAAUUGUCAAUUAGAAGGGCAUCAACACCAUCGAAGAGGAUACUGGUCAUCGAGGAUCGUCGCUGGAGCAACGAGGUCGUCACCGUGGAUGUUGCAGGUACAUGUUUACACUUUUAAGUGUUUAAUUAUGUUUUUUUUAAUGUAUUUAGGAUGGUCCACAUAACCACCAGAGAGGGCCAUAGGACAAUGAAGUUUGUCGUUAGAGCUGCCGUGGUUGUCGCCCGAAAUUGUCAAGAGGGUCCUACCACCGAAGAGGACGCUGGAGCACCGAAGAGGACGCUGGAGCACCGAAGAGGACGCUGGAGCACCGAAGAGGACGCUGGAGCACCGAAGAGGACGCUGGAGCACCGAAGAGGACGCUGGAGCACCGAAGAGGACGCUGGAGCACCGAA